AGGAAAAAUUCAUAAUGCAUACUUCUGGGGAUUUUCCAUAUUGAUGGAAGAAAAUGUUUGGGAUACCUAAGUGAAUCCAUUGAAGAUUGUGUCUGUUUAUUAGUCUUGGUGCAGAGGGGGAAUUGCUGUACUUUGGAGCUGGGAAAGGAUCUUUCAGAUGACGAUGAAGGUAUGGAGAGCCAUGAUGGUUUGUGAGUGGUCUGAUCAGGUGGUGAUUCGGAAGGAUAAUUGGAGGUGGUGA